rnacentral:lncRNA from 1 species
ACGCAUCGUGUGCCUCGUAAUCUGCCCUUCAGAAACAUACGCAUCCAAGAAUUUUCUAUCAACAAGAUUUUUACCUUUGCCUUUCACUCCGAGAACCUCAAACGCACCGUUUUCAAACUCAGGUAACUCCUCAUCUUCCGUCCUCCCAAUCACCUGCUCUAUCGUCUCUCCUCCUUUUGACAUCUGUAUCCUCUCAGGCACCAUCCGCACACUUCCACCCUCGCAUAUGGAGCUCCGAAGCGUCUCACUGAAGAAACAACGGAACCAACCGGAAGAUCUAGCCGGAUUUGCAGGGAGGACGUCGAGGCGUCGGGUGAAAC